UAGCCGUAAACGAUACUCGCUAGGUGUCGGCCACGGUGCGACCGUUGUCGGUGCCGUAGGGAAGCCGUGAAGCGAGCCACCUGGGAAGUACGGCCGCAAGGCUGAAACUUAAAGGAAUUGGCGGGGGAGGCACAACAACGGGUGGAGCUUGCGGUUUAAUUGGAUUCAACACCGGAAAUCUUACCGGGACCGACAGCAACAUGAAGGCCAAGCUGAAGACUUUGCCGGAUUAGCUGAGAGGAGGUGCAUGGCGUAGUCGUGU
rnacentral:rRNA from 1 species